CCUCGGAUCAGGUAGGGAUACCCGCUGAACUUAAGCAUAUCAAUAAGCGGAGGAAAAGAAACCAACCGGGAUUGCCUCAGUAACGGCGAGUGAAGCGGCAAGAGCUCAAAUUUGAAAGCUGGCUCCUUCGGGGUCCGCAUUGUAAUUUGCAGAGGAUGCUUCGGGUGCAGCCCCCGUCUAAGUGCCCUGGAACGGGCCGUCAUAGAGGGUGAGAAUCCCGUAUGGGGCGGGGUGUCUGCGUCCGUGUGAAGCUCCUUCGACGAGUCGAGUUGUUUGGGAAUGCAGCUCUAAAUGGGUGGUAAAUUUCAUCUAAAGCUAAAUACUGGCCGGAGACCGAUAGCGCACAAGUAGAGUGAUCGAAAGAUGAAAAGCACUUUGAAAAGAGAGUUAAACAGCACGUGAAAUUGUUGAAAGGGAAGCGCUUGCAACCAGACUCGCUCGUGGGGUUCAGCCGGGCUUCGGCCCGGUGUACUUCCCCGCGGGCGGGCCAGCGUCGGUUUGGGCGGCCGGUCAAAGGCCUCCGGAAUGUAGCGCCCUUCGGGGCGCCUUAUAGCCGGGGGUGCAAUGCGGCCAGCCUGGACCGAGGAACGCGCUUCGGCACGGACGCUGGCAUAAUGGUUGUAAACGACC
rnacentral:rRNA from 1 species